GUGAAUCAUCAAAUUUUUGAACGCAAAUUGCACUCUCUUCGGAGAGUAUGACUGUUUGAGGGUCAGUAUUGAUAAAAAUCGGUGUGUUGCUUCUUUGUGACGUUCCGGAGUUUGGGUCAUCUUAAUAUCCUUUAGUUUUUAAGAGGCUUAAUAUUGACUUUUUUUGCGUAUUUUAGAUGUACAUAAAUUCUUUUUUUAUUUGUUUGUCUUAAUGUUCAAAAUCCUAUUAUAUGAGACCAUAUCACGUGGUUUCGUGUCUAUACAUUUUU
rnacentral:misc_RNA from 1 species